CACCUCUAGCAUAACCAGUAUUAGAGGCACUGCCUGCCCAGUGACAAUCGUUAAACGGCCGCGGUAUUCUGACCGUGCAAAGGUAGCAUAAUCACUUGUUCUCUAAAUAAGGACUUGCAUGAAUGGCCACACGAGGGUUUUACUGUCUCUUACUUUCAAUCAGUGAAAUUGACCUCCCCGUGAAGAGGCGGGGAUAAUUAAAUAAGACGAGAAGACCCUAUGGAACUUUAAUUAAUUAAUCCAAUAAAAUAUAAAUUUAAACCACCCAAGGGACAACAAACUUUUAUAUGGGUUAACAAUUUCGGUUGGGGUGACCUCGGAGCAUAAAAAAACCUCCGAGUGAUUAAAGCCUAGGCCUACCAGCCAAAGCACACCAUCACUUAUUGAUCCAAACUAUUGAUCAACGGAACAAGCUACCCUAGGGAUAACAGCGCAAUCCUAUUCUAGAGUCCAUAUCGACAAUAGGGUUUACGACCUCGAUGUUGGAUCAGGACAUCCUGAUGGUGCAACCGCUAUUAAGGGUUCGUUUGUUCAACGAUUAAAGUCCU
rnacentral:rRNA from 1 species